UUGGGAGCUUGCUUCCAUGAGAGUGGCGCACGGGUGCGUAACACGUAUGUAACCUACCCUUAUCAGGGGGAUAGCCUCUCGAAAGAGAGAUUAAGCCCGCAUAAAAUCACAGCACAGCAUUGUGUAAUGAUCAAAUAUUUAUAGGAUAAGGAUGGGCAUGCGGAACAUUAGCUAGUUGGUAAGGUAACGGCUUACCAAGGCUACGAUGUUUAGGGGAUCUGAGAGGAUGGCCCCCCACACUGGUACUGAGACACGGACCAGACUCCUACGGGAGGCAGCAGUAAGGAAUAUUGGUCAAUGGGCGCAAGCCUGAACCAGCCAUGCCGCGUGCAG
rnacentral:rRNA from 1 species